rnacentral:rRNA from 1 species
AGAGAGAGACAUGCGCGCAUAUCAAUAAGCGGAGGAAAAGAAACUAACUAGGAUUCCCUCAGUAACGGCGAGUGAAGCGGGAAGAGCUCAAAUUUGAAAUCUUCAAGGUUCUACCUUGACGAAUUGUAGUUUAAAGAAGUGUUUUCUGUUGGAAGUUUUGGUAAAAGUUCUUUGGAAUAGGACAUCAUAGAGGGUGAGAAUCCCGUAUUUGACCAUUAUUUUCAGCUUUGUGAUACACUUUCAAAGAGUCGGAUUGUUUGGGAAUGCAGUCCAAAAUGGGUGGUAAAUUUCAUCUAAAGCUAAAUAUUGGCGAGAGACCGAUAGCGAACAAGUACCGUGAGGGAAAGAUGAAAAGAACUUUGAAAAGAGAGUUAAACAGUACGUGAAAUUGUCAAAAGGGAAGCGUUUGACACCAGUGUUGUUUUCUCGAAAAUCAAUUAAAAAUGGCUCGAUUUUGUAUUGUUGAGACCUUAAAAGCUCACUGUACAUUUUUCGUGUCUUUUUUAAUGCACUUUUCGUUUAACAAGUCAACAUCAGUUUCUUUUGUUGUAAAAGGGUCAUUGGAAGGUGGCUUUCUUUUCGGAGAAAGUGUUUAUAGCCUUUGGCCUCUGCAAUCGGAGAGACUGAGGUCUGCAGCGUAGACUCUUCGGGGUUAGAUACAUUUGUGCUAAGUUAUAGCUUUUUAUAGACAACUUGUUGACUAUAAUUAGUCUUGUAGCUUACUCGCUUAUGCUAUUUUACCUACGCUUAGGAUGUUGAAGAUGUAGCACAUCAU